rnacentral:rRNA from 1 species
UACGUAGGUGGCAAGCGUUGUCCGGAAUUACUGGGCGUAAAGAGCGCGUAGGCGGCACGGUACGACCGGUGUGAAAGCCCCCGGCUCAACUGGGGAGGGUCACCGGUAACGGCCGAGCUAUGAGUGCAGGAGAGGGAAGUGGAACUCCGGGAGUAGCGGUGAAAUGCGUAGAGACCCGGAGGAACACCAGUGGCGAAGGCGGCUUCCUGGUCUGCAACUGACGCUGUGGCGCGAAAGCUAGGGGAGCAAACGGG